rnacentral:rRNA from 1 species
AGAGUUUGAUUCUGGCUCAGAUUGAACGCUGGCGGCGUGCUUAACACAUGCAAGUCGAACGUGAAAGUCCUUCGGGGCGAGUAAAGUGGCGCACGGGUGAGUAACGCGUGGAUAAUCUACCCUUAAGAUGGGGAUAACGGCUGGAAACGGUCGCUAAUACCGAAUACGCUCCCGAUUUUAUCAUUGGGGGGAAAGAUGGCCUCUGCUUGCAAGCUAUCGCUUAAGGAUGAGUCCGCGUCCCAUUAGCUAGUUGGCGGGGUAACGGCCCACCAAGGCAACGAUGGGUAGCCGGUCUGAGAGGAUGACCGGCCACACUGGAACUGGAACACGGUCCAGACUCCUACGGGAGGCAGCAGUGGGGAAUAUUGCGCAAUGGGCGAAAGCCUGACGCAGCGACGCCGCGUGAGGGAUGAAGGUCUUCGGAUCGUAAACCUCUGUCAGAAGGGAAAAAUGUACAGUGCUCCAAUCAACACUGUAUUGAUGGUACCUUCAGAGGAAGCACCGGCUAACUCCGUGCCAGCAGCCGCGGUAAUACGGAGGGUGCAAGCGUUAAUCGGAAUUACUGGGCGUAAAGCGCGCGUAGGUUGUUUUGUAAGUCAGAGGUGUAAUCCCACGGCUUAACCGUGGAACUGCCUUUGAUACUGCAUAACUUGGAUCCGGGAGAGGACAGCGGAAUUCCAGGUGUAGGAGUGAAAUCCGUAGAUAUCUGGAAGAACAUCAGUGGCGAAGGCGGCUGUCUGGACCGGUAUUGACGCUGAGGCGCGAAAGCGUGGGUAGCAAACAGGAUUAGAUACCCUGGUAGUCCACGCU